rfam:Myotis brandtii contig197257, whole genome shotgun sequence.
GGCGGUUCUCAGGUGAUGCACCUUGGAAUCAGUCUCCCUCCUUUCUGGUUCGGGUGAGUCACCAGAGAACUGCA